CCCUUAGAUGUUCUGGGCCGCACGCGCGCUACACUGAUGCAUUCAACGAGCCUAUCCUUGACCGACAGGUCCGGGUAAUCUUUGAAUCUGCAUCGUGACGGGGAUAGAUUAUUGCAAUUAUUAAUCUUCAACGAGGAAUGCCUAGUAGGCGCAAGUCAUCAGCUUGCGUCGAUUACGUCCCUGCCCUUUGUACACACCGCCCGUCGCUCCUACCGAUUGGAUGGCUUAGUGAGACCCUCGGACCGAUAGGCUGUCGCCGCGGCAACGUGGCGACCGGCCCGUCGGGAAGAAGGUCAAACUUGACUGUCUAGAGGAAGUAAAAGUCGUAACA
rnacentral:rRNA from 1 species